CUUUGAUUUCCUCCAGGUGUAACCACUUCGUUGACGACAUCGUCCACGAUCACAGAGACAUGGUCCAUGAUCGGAGAGACAUUGUUGAGGAUGAGGGAGACAUCGUUCACGAUCAGAGACAUUGUCCAUGACUCGUGGUGACUCGGUCCCCGAUUAGUCGGCACUGCCGGCGUUCAGAGACAUUGUCGAUGAUCGCAGAGACUUUGUCCAUAAUCUCAGAGACAUUGUCCACGAUCACAGAGAUUUAGUCCACGAUCUCAAAGCCAUCCACGAUCACAGAGACAUGGUCCAUGAUCGGAGAGGCAUCGUUGAGGAUGAGGGAGACAUCGUCCACGAUCAGAGACGUUGUCUGUGAUCGCAGAGACCUUGUCAAAGAUGAGAGAGACGUUGUCCAUGAUCAGAGACAUUGUCGCUGCUUCGCAGAGCUCUGUACAAGAAUCGGUAGUGACACUGUGGUUCCUCGAUUCGACGGCAUGACCGUGAUCAGCUGACAUUGUUAAUGAUCACAGAGAAACAGUCUAUCAUCAGAGACUUGGUCCACGAUCACAGACACAAUGUCAAUGAUUGCAGAGACUUUGUCCAUAAUCUCAGAGACGUUGUCCGCGAUCACAGAGACGUAGUCCACGAUCACAGAGAGUCUUUGUACAAUGAAGAAGUUCUUUGAGACCAGGACAGAGGCCUCCAGGUGUAACCACUUCGUUGACGACAUCGUCCACGAUCACAGAGACAUGGUCCAUGAUCGGAGAGACAUUGUUGAGGAUGAGGGAGACAUCGUUCACGAUCAGAGACAUUGUCCAUGACUCGUGGUGACUCGGUCCCCGAUUAGUCGGCACUGCCGGCGUUCAGAGACAUUGUCGAUGAUCGCAGAGACUUUGUCCAUAAUCUCAGAGACAUUGUCCACGAUCACAGAGACUUAGUCCACGAUCUCAAAGCCAUCCACGAUCACAGAGACAUGGUCCAUGAUCGGAGAGGCAUCGUUGAGGAUGAGGGAGACAUCGUCCACGAUCAGAGACGUUGUCUGUGAUCGCAGAGACCUUGUCAAAGAUGAGAGAGACGUUGUCCAUGAUCAGAGACAUUGUCGCUGCUUCGCAGAGCUCUGUACAAGAAUCGGUAGUGACACUGUGGUUCCUCGAUUCGACGGCAUGACCGUGAUCAGCUGACAUUGUUAAUGAUCACAGAGAAACAGUCUAUCAUCAGAGACUUGGUCCACGAUCACAGACACAAUGUCAAUGAUUGCAGAGACUUUGUCCAUAAUCUCAGAGACGUUGUCCGCGAUCACAGAGACGUAGUCCACGAUCACAGAGAGUCUUUGUACAAUGAAGAAGUUCUUUGAGACCAGGACAGAGGCCUCCAGGUGUAACCACUUCGUUGACGACAUCGUCCACGAUCACAGAGACAUGGUCCAUGAUCGGAGAGACAUUGUUGAGGAUGAGGGAGACAUCGUUCACGAUCAGAGACAUUGUCCAUGACUCGUGGUGACUCGGUCCCCGAUUAGUCGGCACUGCCGGCGUUCAGAGACAUUGUCGAUGAUCGCAGAGACUUUGUCCAUAAUCUCAGAGACAUUGUCCACGAUCACAGAGACUUAGUCCACGAUCUCAAAGCCAUCCACGAUCACAGAGACAUGGUCCAUGAUCGGAGAGGCAUCGUUGAGGAUGAGGGAGACAUCGUCCACGAUCAGAGACGUUGUCUGUGAUCGCAGAGACCUUGUCAAAGAUGAGAGAGACGUUGUCCAUGAUCAGAGACAUUGUCGCUGCUUCGCAGAGCUCUGUACAAGAAUCGGUAGUGACACUGUGGUUCCUCGAUUCGACGGCAUGACCGUGAUCAGCUGACAUUGUUAAUGAUCACAGAGAAACAGUCUAUCAUCAGAGACUUGGUCCACGAUCACAGACACAUUGUCAAUGAUUGCAGAGACUUUGUCCAUAAUCUCAGAGACGUUGUCCGCGAUCACAGAGACGUAGUCCACGAUCACAGAGAGUCUUUGUACAAUGAAGAAGUUCUUUGAGACCAGGACAGAGGCCUCCAGGUGUAACCACUUCGUUGACGACAUCGUCCACGAUCACAGAGACAUGGUCCAUGAUCGGAGAGACAUUGUUGAGGAUGAGGGAGACAUCGUUCACGAUCAGAGACAUUGUCCAUGACUCGUGGUGACUCGGUCCCCGAUUAGUCGGCACUGCCGGCGUUCAGAGACAUUGUCGAUGAUCGCAGAGACUUUGUCCAUAAUCUCAGAGACAUUGUCCACGAUCACAGAGACUUAGUCCACGAUCUCAAAGCCAUCCACGAUCACAGAGACAUGGUCCAUGAUCGGAGAGGCAUCGUUGAGGAUGAGGGAGACAUCGUCCACGAUCAGAGACGUUGUCUGUGAUCGCAGAGACCUUGUCAAAGAUGAGAGAGACGUUGUCCAUGAUCAGAGACAUUGUCGCUGCUUCGCAGAGCUCUGUACAAGAAUCGGUAGUGACACUGUGGUUCCUCGAUUCGACGGCAUGACCGUGAUCAGCUGACAUUGUUAAUGAUCACAGAGAAACAGUCUAUCAUCAGAGACUUGGUCCACGAUCACAGACACAAUGUCAAUGAUUGCAGAGACUUUGUCCAUAAUCUCAGAGACGUUGUCCGCGAUCACAGAGACGUAGUCCACGAUCACAGAGAGUCUUUGUACAAUGAAGAAGUUCUUUGAGACCAGGACAGAGGCCUCCAGGUGUAACCACUUCGUUGACGACAUCGUCCACGAUCACAGAGACAUGGUCCAUGAUCGGAGAGACAUUGUUGAGGAUGAGGGAGACAUCGUUCACGAUCAGAGACAUUGUCCAUGACUCGUGGUGACUCGGUCCCCGAUUAGUCGGCACUGCCGGCGUUCAGAGACAUUGUCGAUGAUCGCAGAGACUUUGUCCAUAAUCUCAGAGACAUUGUCCACGAUCACAGAGACUUAGUCCACGAUCUCAAAGCCAUCCACGAUCACAGAGACAUGGUCCAUGAUCGGAGAGGCAUCGUUGAGGAUGAGGGAGACAUCGUCCACGAUCAGAGACGUUGUCUGUGAUCGCAGAGACCUUGUCAAAGAUGAGAGAGACGUUGUCCAUGAUCAGAGACAUUGUCGCUGCUUCGCAGAGCUCUGUACAAGAAUCGGUAGUGACACUGUGGUUCCUCGAUUCGACGGCAUGACCGUGAUCAGCUGACAUUGUUAAUGAUCACAGAGAAACAGUCUAUCAUCAGAGACUUGGUCCACGAUCACAGACACAUUGUCAAUGAUUGCAGAGACUUUGUCCAUAAUCUCAGAGACGUUGUCCGCGAUCACAGAGACGUAGUCCACGAUCACAGAGAGUCUUUGUACAAUGAAGAAGUUCUUUGAGACCAGGACAGAGGCCUCCAGGUGUAACCACUUCGUUGACGACAUCGUCCACGAUCACAGAGACAUGGUCCAUGAUCGGAGAGACAUUGUUGAGGAUGAGGGAGACAUCGUUCACGAUCAGAGACAUUGUCCAUGACUCGUGGUGACUCGGUCCCCGAUUAGUCGGCACUGCCGGCGUUCAGAGACAUUGUCGAUGAUCGCAGAGACUUUGUCCAUAAUCUCAGAGACAUUGUCCACGAUCACAGAGACUUAGUCCACGAUCUCAAAGCCAUCCACGAUCACAGAGACAUGGUCCAUGAUCGGAGAGGCAUCGUUGAGGAUGAGGGAGACAUCGUCCACGAUCAGAGACGUUGUCUGUGAUCGCAGAGACCUUGUCAAAGAUGAGAGAGACGUUGUCCAUGAUCAGAGACAUUGUCGCUGCUUCGCAGAGCUCUGUACAAGAAUCGGUAGUGACACUGUGGUUCCUCGAUUCGACGGCAUGACCGUGAUCAGCUGACAUUGUUAAUGAUCACAGAGAAACAGUCUAUCAUCAGAGACUUGGUCCACGAUCACAGACACAAUGUCAAUGAUUGCAGAGACUUUGUCCAUAAUCUCAGAGACGUUGUCCGCGAUCACAGAGACGUAGUCCACGAUCACAGAGAGUCUUUGUACAAUGAAGAAGUUCUUUGAGACCAGGACAGAGGCCUCCAGGUGUAACCACUUCGUUGACGACAUCGUCCACGAUCACAGAGACAUGGUCCAUGAUCGGAGAGACAUUGUUGAGGAUGAGGGAGACAUCGUUCACGAUCAGAGACAUUGUCCAUGACUCGUGGUGACUCGGUCCCCGAUUAGUCGGCACUGCCGGCGUUCAGAGACAUUGUCGAUGAUCGCAGAGACUUUGUCCAUAAUCUCAGAGACAUUGUCCACGAUCACAGAGACGUAGUCCACGAUCACAGUCUUUAUACAAUGAAGUUCUUUGAGACCUGGACAGAGGCCUUCAGGUAAUUCACCAACAGCUUUACAUCAACUGUCCCAACACA